CGCGGCCUAUCAGCUUGUUGGUGGGGUAAUGGCCUACCAAGGCGACGACGGGUAGCCGGCCUGAGAGGGUGAUCGGCCACACUGGGACUGAGACACGGCCCAGACUCCUACGGGAGGCAGCAGUGGGGAAUAUUGCACAAUGGGCGGAAGCCUGAUGCAGCGACGCCGCGUGGGGGAUGACGGUCUUCGGAUUGUAAACUCCUUUCAGUAGGGACGAAGCGAGAGUGACGGUACCUGCAGAAGAAGCACCGGCCAACUACGUGCCAGCAGCCGCGGUAAUACGUAGGGUGCGAGCGUUGUCCGGAAUUACUGGGCGUAAAGAGCUCGUAGGCGGUUUGUCACGUCGUCUGUGAAAUCCUCCAGCUCAACUGGGGGCGUGCAGGCGAUACGGGCUGACUUGAGUACUACAGGGGAGACUGGAAUUCCUGGUGUAGCGGUGAAAUGCGCAGAUAUCAGGAGGAACACCGGUGGCGAAGGCGGGUCUCUGGGUAGUAACUGUCGCUGAGGAGCGAAAGCAUGGGGAGCAAACAGGAUUAGAUACCCUGGUAGUCCAUGCCGUAAACGGUGGGCGCUAGGUGUGGGGUCCUUCCACGGAUUCCGUGCCGUAGCUAACGCAUUAAGCGCCCCGCCUGGGGAGUACGG
rnacentral:rRNA from 1 species